CAAAUAAUAUAAUAUUCUUAUGGUUAAUAGUUAAAAAUCUUCGGUCGUGUGUACCUAUACCCGGUGUAUAGGUAUUAAGUACCUGUAAGUAUAUCGUCAAGGCUGGGCGUUACGACAGUUAAAAAGUUUAAAGUUAAAUUAUUAUUUUCGUUUUUAGUGGUAAAAAGCCGUCGUGGUAUAACAAAAACGGGUUGACGAAACGAAACACACGAAAAUGUCUUUAAAAUCGUUUUUUAGUGCACAUAAAACACUCUUUAUAAAAUGUGCAGAUGACAACGUUUCAAAGGCGAUCCCGUCGGCAUUUUUCAAUACUCUAAAUAUUUAACUCAUUAUCGAAGGUACAAAAAAUAGUAUUUUACAUAAUUAAUAUAUAUAUAUAUAUUUUGUAAUAAUUAAUAUGCCGAAAAAAUGCCGAUGAGGUUUUCUUC